rnacentral:rRNA from 1 species
UAGUUUGACUGGGGCGGUCUCCUCCCAAAGAGUAACGGAGGAGCACGAAGGUGGGCUAAUCACGGUUGGACAUCGUGAGGUUAGUGCAAUGGCAUAAGCCCGCUUGACUGCGAGAAUGACAAUUCGAGCAGGUGCGAAAGCAGGUCAUAGUGAUCCGGUGGUUCUGAAUGGAAGGGCCAUCGCUCAACGGAUAAAAGGUACUCCGGGGAUAACAGGCUGAUACCGCCCAAGAGUUCAUAUCGACGGCGGUGUUUGGCACCUCGAUGUCGGCUCAUCACAUCCUGGGGCUGAAGUCGGUCCCAAGGGUAUGGCUGUUCGCCAUUUAAAGUGGUACGCGAGCUGGGUUUAGAACGUCGUGAGACAGUUCGGUCCCUAUCUGCCGUGGGCGUUGGAUGAUUGAAGGGGGCUGCUCCUAGUACGAGAGGACCGGAGUGGACGAACCUCUGGUGUUCGGGUUGUCACGCCAGUGGCAUUGCCCGGUAGCUAAGUUCGGAAUCGAUAAACGCUGAAAGCAUCUAAGCGUGAAGCGAGCCCUGAGAUGAGUCAUCCCUGAUACUUUAAGUAUCCUAAAGGGUUGUUGGAGACUACGACGUAGAUAGGUCAGGUGUGUAAGUGCUGCGAGGCAUUGAGCUAACUGAUACUAAUUGCCCGUGAGGCUUAACCAUACAACACC